rnacentral:rRNA from 1 species
UACGUAGGGGGCAAGCGUUGUCCGGAUUUAUUGGGCGUAAAGAGCGUGUAGGCGGCCGUACAGGUCAGCUGUGAAAACUCGAGGCUCAACCUCGAGCUGUCGGUGGAAACCGUGUGGCUAGAGUCCGGAAGAGGAGAGUGGAAUUCCCGGUGUAGCGGUGAAAUGCGCAGAUAUCGGGAAGAACACCCGUGGCGAAGGCGGCUCUCUGGGACGGUACUGACGCUGAGACGCGAAAGCGUGGGGAGCGAACAGG